rnacentral:lncRNA from 1 species
GGUCAACCGUGCAGGGUGUUUAGAGAGGGCAGGAAGGAAAGGCCUGGAGAUAGUCUUUGUCAAUUAAGAGAUCACUGAGGAGUGUGAAGGAAGUGGAUUGGCUGGGUUAAGUCACAGGGGCUGAGAGAUGAGUGGGUGGCGAGGACGGGAGGACAGGGCAUCGACUCUCCCUAGGACUGGCAGUAUGAAGGGAUAGAGGAGAGAGUUUGUCCAAGAUCUUGUGUCAAACAAGAUUCCUGUGGGAAGGCCCUGGGGCAGGAGACCCCAGUCUGAUCAAUGUCUUGAUCCAGCGCUACAGGACCUGGGAAGUUUUCAGGUGUCAGAAGCCAAGGAGGAACAUGAAAGCUCAAGUGCGCCCUGAACCACUCUCAACCCCCAAGUCAAGGAAUGCAAAAGGUGAGGAGUCGCCAUGGCAACAGCAGGGCCAGGUGUGGUGGUGAAUACUUAGCU